CCCACCCCCAAAUCCCCAAUCACCCCAAAUGGCAAAUGUAAACCUAGCUCUAUUCUCUCAGUCUCGCACUCUUGCACUCUCAGUCUCGAGCUCGAAGCCCUUCCUCCCACCACCUAGCAGCGCCGUAGAAGCCUUCUUCCCAGCGCCACCGAAGCCUUCUUCACAGCGUCGCCGAACCUUUCCUCCUCGCGGACACCACCAUCGAUCCCCAGCCAACACCACCCUCGCGGAGUCGCGGUCGUCGACACACACCGGCGCCACCCCCAGCACCGUUUCUGGCCACCCGCAGCACCGAGCCACCCAGCACAACACCACCGAGACAUGGAACCCGAGCCUCCGAGUUAGGAAAAUUCUGGUUUAGGGUUGAUUCUGAACUUUUUAGUUUAGAGAAAGACUUUGGAAGAGUUAAGGUAAAAAUGGGGCUGACUUUCACGAAGCUGUUCACCAUUAUAUGAUUGAUGAGAAGCUCCUGAAAUUGAACAAUGAUGGCCUAAGAUUGAUGAGAAGGCGGAUAUGUACAGCUUAGGUGAAAGAGGAAGAAUUUGUGAAAUUGGUGCACCACAUGAACAUUUUUGGAAUUAGUUUGGUUGUAUUUUUUACUUAGUUUGGUUUUAUUUCUUGAUUCAGUUUGAAAUUGAUGCACCAUUUUUGCAAAAUUUUUGGAAUUAAUUUGAUUGUAUUUCUUGAUUUUCUUGAUUAAGCUCAGGUUGAUCAUUGUUCUAUCUGUUUUUGCUAAUCUUGUAACAAAAUUUUUAAUGAUUUUAAUUUAUAUUACUUCUACUAAUUUGUUAGUGAUUUAUAAG